rnacentral:rRNA from 1 species
AGAGUUUGAUCAUGGCUCAGGAUGAACGCUAGCUACAGGCUUAACACAUGCAAGGUCGAGGGGAAACGACAUCGAAAGCUUGCUUUUGAUGGGCGUCGACCGGCGCACGGGUGAGUAACGCGUAUCCAACCUGCCCACCACUUGGGGAUAACCUUGCGAAAGUAAGACUAAUACCCAAUGACGUCUCUAGAAGACAUCUGAAAGGGAUUAAAGAUUUAUCGGUGAUGGAUGGGGAUGCGUCUGAUUAGCUUGUUGGGCGGGGUAACGGCCGACCAAGGCUACGAUCAGUAGGGGUUCUGAGAGGAAGGUCCCCCACAUUGGAACUGAGACACGGUCCAAACUCCUACGGGAGGCA